CAGUAGCCACGGUAAUACGUAGGGGGCAAGCGUUAUCCGGAAUAACUGGGCGUAAAGGGUGCGCAGGUGGUUUAACAAGUUAGUGGUGAAAGGCAUAGGCUCAACCAAUGUAAGCCAUUAAAACUGUUUAACUUGAGUGCAGGAGAGGAAAGUGGAAUUCCUAGUGUAGCGGUGAAAUGCGUAGAUAUUAGGAGGAAUACCAGUGGCGAAGGCGACUUUCUGGACUGCAACUGACACUGAGGCACGAAAGCGUGGGGAGCAAACAGGAUUAGAUACCCGCGUAGUCCCUGUCUCUUAUCAC
rnacentral:rRNA from 1 species